CCAAAUCUCUAUCGUUUCAUACGGUAAAGAAAAACCAGCAGUGUUAGGUCACACUGAAGCUGACUACGCGAAAAACCGUCGCGCAGUACUGGCUUACUAAUAAGAGAUUUAGUAUCUAAUGAACAGUAACUUCAGACGUGUAGUAGUU
rfam:Moellerella wisconsensis ATCC 35017 Sequence00026, whole genome shotgun sequence.